UACGUAGGGUGCAAGCGUUGUCCGGAAUUAUUGGGCGUAAAGAGCUCGUAGGCGGUUUGUCGCGUCUGCUGUGAAAACUCGGGGCUUAAAUCCGGGCCUGCAGUGGGUACGGGCAGACUAGAGUGCGGUAGGGGAGACUGGAAUUCCUGGUGUAGCGGGGAAAUGCGCAGAUAUCGGGAGGAACACCGGUGGCGAAGGCGGUUCUCUGGGCCUGUACUGACGCUGAGGAGCGAAAGCGUGGGGAGCAAACAGG
rnacentral:rRNA from 1 species